rnacentral:rRNA from 1 species
GAUGAACGCUGGCGGCGUGCCUAGUACAUGCAAGUCGAGCGAAUGGAUUAAGAGCUUGCUCUUAUGAAGUUAGCGGCGGACGGGUGAGUAACACGUGGGUAACCUGCCCAUAAGACUGGGAUAACUCCGGGAAACCGGGGCUAAUACCGGAUAACAUUUUGAACCGCAUGGUUCGAAAUUGAAAGGCGGCUUCGGCUGUCACUUAUGGAUGGACCCGCGUCGCAUUAGCUAGUUGGUGAGGUAACGGCUCACCAAGGCAACGAUGUGUAGCCGACCUGAGAGGGUGAGCGGCCACACUGGGACUGAGACACGGCCCAGACUCCGACGGGAGGCAGCAGUAGGGAAUCUUCCGCAAUGGACGAAAGUCUGACGGAGCAACGCCGCGUGAGUGAUGAAGGCUUUCGGGUCGUAAAACUCUGUUGUUAGGGAAGAACAAGUGCUAGUGGAAUAAGCUGGCACCUUGACGGUACCUAACCAGAAAGCCACGGCUAACUACGUGCCAGCCGCCGCCGUAA